AUCCCAUGAUAAGGGCAUCUACGUAGUAACUCCUUGAAUCUUUCCUAUGCCUCGUAUAAGGACUAAUCAUCCAAUUGUUGAAAAGUGGUGAUCUCAUUCCUCAACUU
rfam:Gossypium raimondii Chr10_contig_831, whole genome shotgun sequence.